rnacentral:rRNA from 1 species
UACGGGGGGAGCAAGCGUUGUUCGGAUUUACUGGCGUAAAGGGCGCGUAGGCGGCGCAACAAGUCACUUGUGAAAUCUCCGGGCUUAACCCGGAGCGGUCAAGUGAUACUGUCGUGCUAGAGUGCGGAAGGGGCUACUGGAAUUCUCGGUGUAGCGGUGAAAUGCGUAGAUAUCGAGAGGAACACCUGCGGCGAAGGCGGGUAGCUGGGCCGACACUGACGCUGAUGCGCGAAAGCCAGGGGAGCGAACGGG